rnacentral:misc_RNA from 1 species
AUGCGAAAGCAGUUGAAAACAAAUCGAAAGAAUUUGGAAACAGAUUCGAGUAAGUUUGGAAGUUCGUAAAGAACAUGGCCUCGUCGAACGG